UAUUCUGUGGCUUAAUUGGUUAAAGCGCCUGUCUAGCGAAUACGUAGUCGUGGGUUCAAAUCCCACCAAAAUGC
rnacentral:tRNA from 1 species